AAGUCGUAACAAGGUUUCCGUAGGUGAACCUGCGGAAGGAUCAUUAUUGAAUAAAUCUGGCUUGGUUGAUGCUGGUCUUUUCGAAGAUAUGUGCACACCUUGUCAUCUUUAUAUCUCCACCUGUGCACCUCUUGUAGACCUGGAUUCAACUUUCCGAGGAAACUCGGUUGUGAGGAAUUGCUUAAUAGGCUUUCCUUGUUUGUUUCCAGGGCUAUGUUUUCAUAUACACCUUAUGAAUGUAACAGAAUGUCAUUAUUAGGCUUAAUUGUCUUAUAAACUAUAUACAACUUUCAGCAACGGAUCUCUUGGCUCUC
rnacentral:misc_RNA from 1 species